GACGCUUAACCGACGGAGCCACCCAGGCACCCCUCCUCCAAAUUUUUUAAUUUUUAAGGGUUUUGUUUCUCUAAUGCAUCUUUCGAUUGAGUUUGUUUUCCAUCAUAGUUAUAUGAGAUCUAUAAUGAAUAUUUCAUUGCUUUACCCUUCUUUCAUCUGAAUUCUAUUAAUUAAGCUUGUAUAUGUUUCUCUUUUCCCUGGUGUUUCUGAAGCAACUUUUUAACUUGUAGCUACUUUCCAUUUAAGAAAACCAAUAUUCAGUCUCCUCAUCUUCCUCUUCCCUCUCUCCUGUCUGCUUUUCCCUGGGCCCUGACGCAAAGCAGCGAAAGCCCUCUGCCUCGUGGCUGCAACCUGCCAGGCUGUGUCGGGGCCCUCCCAUCGCGGAAGAGUGGAUUGCCAGAGACUUGUUCUAACACAGUGCUAGUGCUUGUAAUCCCUCCCCAUGCCGAAAGCGUACAGAGUACGUCCUCUGCCUUCCUUGGGUGCAUAAUUACUUCCCCUCGUGAGGCAGAGCUUCCUGGAGGACAAUCAGAGAGCCGCAGUGUUCAGCAGCCCGCUGAUGAAGAAUGUCUGCCUGCGGUCUCCUUCUAGGAGGCUAUUGUGCUGGAGGAAGGGUUUAGUGGCCCAAGCAUCAGCUCUCAAAUGCCAGGUUCAAAUUCUGACUCCGCCAUUUGUCCCCAUGCGGUGUUUGAGUAAAGCUGGCGUGGCUGUGUGUUUGGGGAGGGGCGUGUUGCUAAGCAAGAGCCCUGGUGCAGCUCUGUUUCAGAUUACCCUAGGGUUCGGGAACCAUUGAUAUUAUCUUUGCCUCAUAGAAGUUAAGAGCUGGGUUGUUUUGUUUCUUUCCUGUGAAAUACAGUUCCAUGCAUCUCGGAGCUUCACGUUUGGGGAGAAAUCCUUUAGCUUUUCACCUGCGUUUUUCUUCCGGUGCAAAUGGGGAUAAUGUCAUUUUUGCCAGUUCCUAAGUGCAGCUGGGGGAAUCCCUUAAAUAUUUCUAAUGUUAACAGGAUAUAGAGUCGGGAAAUGCCUGCACAACCAUCGUGAACUGUUGUUGUGGCGUACGACUUUACUUUCUCGCUGUAGUAAAUAACUUGUGUAAGGCCACAUAAGACAGAGUUGGGAUCUGAACUUAGCCUGUGUCUGGACUUUCCGUCACCUCAUGCAGCUCCUGGCCUGCUACUGUGGAGAGAGAGUGCCAGCUUCUUGGGAAACUUCCACUCAGUCUUACUGGAGCUCAGUGUUGGUCUUAGCAGGAGGCCAGAAUCAAGGAGCAGUCAGCCGCUCACGGGAGCACGGGAAACAUCCUGAGUCAGGGAUCCUUCUCCCACUCAGAGCCCUGCCCUUUCGAAAGAUGGGAACUGUUUUUAUUUGCAUUGCAGCCUUUAAGUUAAUUAAUGGGAAUUAAUACGUGUGUAAGAACUUCAGAAAUUUCCCAAAGGCUCAUUAUAAAUUUAGUGUAAAAGGAGCACUGGAUAUUUUUUUAAAGACAGGGCUCUCAUUAAAUUUUUAGGUUAUUAAUAAAAACAUUUUUAUCAGGGCAAGUUGAGUGUGAGUGCUGGGAUGAAGACAUCAGUGAAUGCACUUGAGCCAAAUUCAACUGACUCCUACAAGGGAAACCAUGCGGGGUGUAUGUGUGUGUGUGUGUGUGUGUGUGUGUGUGUGUGUGUGUUUGGUGGAGGGGAGAGGAGGCUGGUAGUGUGAAGUACUAAAGGCUGCCAGAAAAGCACAUAUCUAUAAUUUCCUUUCAUUAGGAAAAGGUUCCCGACUUAAUUGUUUGUAUUAUCAAAUCAUCUAAGACUUCCUCCGCUAUUACAGGAUGUGGCCAAAAAAAAAAAAAAAAGCAUUUAGUGGUAUAUAAAAACAGAACGGAGUGUCUGCUUAUUUGGGGAUUUAUAUCUGUUUAUUCAUUUAUGACCACCAGCCAGGUAGCUUGAUCAAUGAUAAUAGGAGAGCUUUAUGAGGAACGUCGCACGUGCCAGCUCCCCUGUUUCCAUAGAGAAUACAUGUACAGAAGUAAAUCUUCGAACAAACAGAAAAGCGGUUUAACUUAUGCUCUCUCUAACUGUCUUUGAAUAGAGGCUUAUCCUGCCUGGGCCUCUGCGGGCUUUCCCCUGGCUUAGCAUCACUGCCUUCAGAGCCAGCAGCCACCCUAGGAACGCCAGCCACCCACGGCACACCUGUGAACGGCGGAAGGUCGUGCUGGGGAUGCUUGCAAACCCCAGUAACAGUGGCUCACGCCUUUGCCAGGGUGCUCGAGCCAUUGUUCGACCGUGGAGAAGUGGCACAUCUUUGUCACAACAUACCUCUCCUUGGGGUGGCAUCUCGCUUCCGCACUGCCCUUGUGCACGCUGGUCCCAGUGCUCAGAACGGUCCCAAAGGGACCACCGUCCUUGUUACAGAGCAUUUUCACACCGUGUGAAGGGCCUCUUGGUUCUUUUCAACUCAUAUCUUUUCCUGGGUUAAACAGCUCCGUUUCCCUUUGCCGUUUUUUAUCAUAUGUUCUAACUUUUAGAAUUCUUGACAUCCGAGUUGUCUCCCCUCUGAAAAUCCUAUCGCCUAACAACACAUUUCCCAAGAUAUGACACCAGAAGAAGGCUUAGGACACCCUAAGCCAUAUGGGGUCCACGGGAUCACAGGGUAGCGUGUUACUGUCACCUGCCUAUGUCUGGAGCCUAUAUCCCAGCUGCCACAGCUAAAAGUAAGACUGUGAAUUUCUUAUGGACCAGAACUGGCCUCGGUCACAGCAGGCAGAAGAGUAAAUGAAUAAGGUUGUCCGAGUGCUUUUUAACAACAGCAGCCACACUUCACAAAGCACUGCUAAGGAAGCAUUUCCCCUUCCCCUUUGCAGUCAGAUGGCUCCCUGGACUCCAGCAGGCCUCUGUCUCCCCUUUUCAGGUCAAACAGCAUCUUUCCAGCUCCGCUGCUGAUGCCACUCUGGCCACCUGAGAUCACCGCAAGUUCUCCUUGUCUUCCAGAACUCCAGCCACACCACCCGGUCCUAUGCCGCACGCAGACCUGAAGAGCGUGUGGUCUACUCUUCCUACAGGGACUAAUAUGUCUGAAGAAAUGCUGUUUGGAUAAUCAUUGUUCCUCUUCAUCACAUGCGUUGAGAACCAUGCUGAGAAUACCACGGAAUACAGCCUGCGUUACAACAGCGUGCGUCUACUGCUCACAGAGCUGUCUCUGACCGUCGCCCCUUUGUCAGACGUGAGUGACUGCACCUAAAUGGACCGGCUGAAAAAUAGGAGGGGCCCCACUGUCAGCACUGAUAGGGGCUGCAAAGCCUCACAGCCGCCGCUCCUGGGGUCCCUUCCUGCUCUGAAAUCUGCAGCAGUUCCAUCUGGCAGAGUUUUCAAAGUUCUUCCCUGUUUCUUCAUCUUCCGGGGGCCGAACUGCCGUUGGGUCUGACGCUUCUCCCAGCCUCCACCAGUUCUCGCCUCACUUUACCUCACAGAUGUGUCCCCUGAUGAACUUCCCUGACGCCUGCUUCUCGGAGGACCUGUAUCGACACGUUGUCUAAUUCAGUCUCCCCAAACUUAGGAGCUAUUGAUGACUAUAAGAAAUUGAGCCUCGGGGAUUUUGAAGUACGCAUUCAGGUCACCCUGCCAGUGAGUGGCAGUCUUCCAACCCAUCUCCGUCUCUUGACUCGUCUCAUUGUGCCACACUGUCUAGGACACCUUACUGUACAUGUAUGUUUCUUCUUUAUGUGCUACUUUGCCGGUUGACAAGUUCUAUGGUAGAAAAAGGAGUAGGUAAAGAUUAGCCUACAGCUCUCUGCCAAAAGGGAAAACAAAAAAACAAAAAAAAAAAAAGAUCUGGAAGGCAAGUUGUUAAUAUAAAACGUUCACCCUUUUUCUAGAGGAACUUACAAUUUAAGCUUCUCUGUACGUGUCACUGACAGGGAGCUGUCUGGCUACAUGAAUAUGUUGUUUUUCUUUUUUUUUUCUCCCUACACCCCUUUUUAGGUAAUUCAGAGCUGCAAGUGCUGAAUCUAUUUUUCAGAGAUAACAUGCGAAUUUGUGACAUUCCCUGUGGAGUUUGAGGUCUAGGAACCUAGGAAGAGAUCACAACGAAACACAAGCAUUGCUUCCAAGUGCUAGAGUGAUUAUUGUCUGGAAGUCUUAGCGUUAUUUAAAAGGCAGCUUCUUCUCAUUUGGAUCAGGCAACGGUGUGUUUUCUGAAGGCGAGAAGGCCUUUCUAUAAAAGCCAGUACAGAGUGGGGCUGCAGGCUGCUUGUGUUGCAGCAGAGGCCAACGGCAAAAGCCACAGUAGCCGCUUCAGGGAAGCACCAGCAAGUGGAACCGAUGCCUAAUGAAUGGAGGGCCCAGUGGGGAAGUGAAGAAAACAAAGGGAGACUUUUUUUCCCCCUCAUUUCCCCCACCCCCACCCACCACUUUUUUAUUCCAGGAAAGAAAAGUACAGUUUACUGCGAUUCAUUCCCACACCUGGUGAAGGUUCAAGAGGACAGGGAGCCUGAGGACCUUCACCUGAAUGGCUUCUUGAAAGAUGCUGUGUUCAGAUCUUUGGUGCCAGAAGAACACCGACUCGUCUCCCUCUUUGCUUCGCAGGGCCUCCUUUCAUGUGAUUUAGAAAAUGUAUUCUUCUCAGAGCUACGCCACCGGUCUUGUGGGUACUCCUGCUGCCCAUCCGUUCUCUCUAUUUCUCUGGUCGGGGUCCCAAGCAAGAGCAGGCACCUCGAUCGCUGAGUCAUUUCCUCAGAUGAGUCUACCGCAGAAUCUUAGCUCUUGGAUGGAGGCCCCCACUGUUGGUCUUCUGCCUCAACAUUCCUUUUAACUGAAUGGUGUCCCGCUUGCCUCUCCAGUUCAUCUCUCGUGGCUUCUUCACACCAAAACAAAAGUGCUUUCCGUUCUAGAAGCUUCCAUUUUCCCUAUGCCACAUGCCUUUGCCCACGCUGUUUCUUCCACCAGUAGCGUCCUGUGCCCCUUGCUAACUCCCUUGCUCUCUGCCCAUUUGGUGCAUGUUUAAUUCCAGGAAGACGGCGUUCAAGUGAAACCUCUGCGAAGCCUUCCAUGACAUCUCCAAACUCGAUUAAUUACUUCAUUCUCUGCGUGUGUCAGUAAUUUUGUUUAGCGGAAAUUAAUUUUGCCUCUCUGUGAAGAUACAGAUUCACAUUCAGUAGAUUUUCUGAGUGACUACUAAGUGCCUGGCACUGGAAUGAUCACUUUCACAUACAGCACUUUUUGAAUUUCUUUUUGGUGAAGAGACCAGAGAACAUGAGCCUUUUGGAUUGAGAUGCACUAGUAUGGUAUUGUGAAAUUACUCUUGACUCUUCAGAAGAAGGAAUGGGUAUACAUAUGAGGGGCAUUUUUAGUCACUUCUAGUUUGAUAAAAAAAACAACACAACAAAAUCUUUGUUGUUUGUUGUUCGAGGUCUCUGACUUCCCCAGAAGUUUUGGGGAAAAUCGUGAACCCCGCUUCCAGUGACCCUCUGCCACACGAGGACACAAAUUAAUGAUCUCUGUAGGUCUCUUUGGAAGGUGCAUUAUGUUAUCACACUUGCCGUGAGCUCUGGGGGCCUCCAGACUCCCUGAGUGGCAGCAGGCAUAGGCCCUGCCCCGUCCCACUCUGCAUGGCCACCUGAGCCAUGAGGAACCCAAUCUCAGUCACUCCUUCUUGUAAGGUUGUAAGUAACAGCCAGCAUAUCUGCAGAAUGCAACAAGUACCACUGUUUAAUGUGCAUAGGAUUUUUGACAUGCUAAUUACAUCCUGCUCCAAGCCGUGAGGCGUAGGUGAUCGGCUCCGUGAAACAAUCAACAGUCAGAAAAAUAGCUUUUAUUUUUCACUGAGAUGACUGUGAAGAAACAUUUUUUGCUGUUGAUAACUCUGCUUUUAGUUGGAAACACAGAGCACAGGCUGGUAAACUAUAGCCUAUGAGUGAGCCCGUUCUGUUGUUUCAUUUCACACGUAAAUGUUUAUUGGAACACAGCCAGGCCACGUGCUUACAUAUUGCCCGUGACUGCUUUCACAUUAUAAACAUAGAGUUGAGUGGUUGCAGAGAGGUUGGAUAACCCACAGAGACUAAACUACUCACUGCUUCGUCCUUUGCAGAAAAAGUGUGCCGAUCCCUGACACGGCAAUGCAGAGUUCUUCCAGAAACCAUCAAGGCAGACUCUCCAACAGCAAGUCCUUAACCAAAAGCCUGAUUGCAAGAAUAUUUUUCUCUCAGAUCUUAGUAUCAAGAAAGUUGGGCUUGCUCUUGAGCCACUGGCGAGUUUGUAAUCUUCUGGGCUCUCUGAGUCCUGGAAUGGACAGUGUCUUUCUUUCAGUUUUGGCUAUAAGCACUUCCUGAACCAAAAUUGCCCACCUUCUCUGUAGGUGGUAUCAAUCUCUACUCACUUUCAGCUUGACCUCUCUUAAAUCCUCUUGGCUCUGAUUACCUGUUAAUUUUCACCCGAUAGUCUCUAUGGACAUAGUUGGUGGCAAAAGAUUAGGUCUAAAUAAAUAUGUAAGUAUGUACAUAAA